UACAGAGGUCCCGAGCGUUGUUCGGAUUCACUGGGCGUAAAGGGUGCGCAGGUGGUUUGGCAAGUUUGAUGUGAAAGCCCCGGGCUUAACCCGGGAAUGGCAUUGAAUACUGCUGGACUGGAGGAUUGGAGGGGGGACUGGAAUUCUUGGUGUAGCAGUGAAAUGCGUAGAUAUCAAGAGGAACACCAGUGGCGAAGGCGGCUUCCUGGCCUGUUCUUGACGCUGAGGCGCGAAAGCUAGGGGAGCAAACGGG
rnacentral:rRNA from 1 species